rnacentral:rRNA from 1 species
UACGAACCGUGCGAGCGUUGCUCGGAAUCACUGGGCGUAAAGCGCACGUAGGCGGCUACUUAAGUCAGGGGUGAAAUCCUGGAGCUCAACUCCAGAACUGCCCUUGAUACUGGGAAGCUUGGAGUCCGGGAGAGGUGAGUGGAACUGCGAGUGUAGAGGUGAAAUUCGUAGAUAUUCGCAAGAACACCAGUGGCGAAGGCGGCUCACUGGCCCGGUACUGACGCUGAGGUGCGAAAGCGUGGGGAGCAAACAGG